rnacentral:rRNA from 1 species
AUUGAACGCUGGCGGCAGGCCUAACACAUGCAAGUCGAACGGUAACAGGAAACAGCUUGCUGUUUCGCUGACGAGUGGCGGACGGGUGAGUAAUGUCUGGGAAACUGCCUGAUGGAGGGGGAUAACUACUGGAAACGGUAGCUAAUACCGCAUAACGUCGCAAGACCAAAGAGGGGGACCUUCGGGCCUCUUGCCAUCGGAUGUGCCCAGAUGGGAUUAGCUAGUAGGUGGGGUAACGGCUCACCUAGGCGACGAUCCCUAGCUGGUCUGAGAGGAUGACCAGCCACACUGGAACUGAGACACGGUCCAGACUCCUACGGGAGGCAGCAGUGGGGAAUAUUGCACAAUGGGCGCAAGCCUGAUGCAGCCAUGCCGCGUGUAUGAAGAAGGCCUUCGGGUUGUAAAGUACUUUCAGCGGGGAGGAAGGAAGUAAAGUUAAUACCUUGACUCAUUGACGUUACCCGCAGAAGAAGCACCGGCUAACUCCGUG